rnacentral:ncRNA from 1 species
ACACGAUAAUAGCAAACCUGCUGAAAAGCAGGGGCGCAAAGCUAUAGGGUCUAAUGUUCGCAAGAACGAUGACAGCCUGGCCGCCGAA